rnacentral:rRNA from 1 species
AUUGAACGCUGGCGGCAGGCCUAACACAUGCAAGUCGAGCGAGCGGCGGACGGGUGAGUAAUGUCUGGGAAACUGCCUGAUGGAGGGGGAUAACUACUGGAAACGGUAGCUAAUACCGCAUCCCAUCCGAUGUGCCCAGAUGGGAUUAGCUAGUAGGUGGGGUAACGGCUCACCUAGGCGACGAUCCCUAGCUGGUCUGAGAGGAUGACCAGCCAAGCUGAAACUGAGAAAAGGUGCAGACUCGUGCGGGAGGCGGCAGGGGGGAAUAGUGAACAAUGGGCGAAGGCCAGAUGCAGGCAUGGCGCGUGUGUGAGGAAGGCAUUCGGGUUGUAAAGCACGUUCAGCGGGGAGGCGUUACACGCAGAAGAAGCACCGGCUAACUCCGUGCCAGCAGCCGCGGUAAUUC